GAGUUUGAUCGUGGCUCAGGAUGAACGCUGGCGGCGUGCCUAAUACAUGCAAGUCGAGCGAACGGACGAGAAGCUUGCUUCUCUGAUGUUAGCGGCGGACGGGUGAGUAACACGUGGAUAACCUACCUAUAAGACUGGGAUAACUUCGGGAAACCGGAGCUAAUACCGGAUAAUAUUUUGAACCGCAUGGUUCAAAAGUGAAAGACGGUCUUGCUGUCACUUAUAGAUGGAUCCGCGCUGCAUUAGCUAGUUGGUAAGGUAACGGCUUACCAAGGCAACGAUGCAUAGCCGGCCUGAGAGGGUGAUCGGCCACACUGGAACUGAGACACGGUCCAGACUCCUACGGGAGGCAGCAGUAGGGAAUCUUCCGCAAUGGGCGAAAGCCUGACGGAGCAACGCCGCGUGAGUGAUGAAGGUCUUCGGAUCGUAAAACUCUGUUAUUAGGGAAGAACAUAUGUGUAAGUAACUGUGCACAUCUUGACGGUACCUAAUCAGAAAGCCACGGCUAACUACGUCG
rnacentral:rRNA from 1 species